CAUUAAUAUGAAGGUGAAAUCUGGCUUAUUUGGUAUAAAAAUCAUACAUUAUCAAAUGUAAAAUGGUGUUUUGCUUUCUUUGGACUAUAUGUGCAUAAAUGUGUUAUUGGUAUAUGUUCCAAAUUAUGGGAAACUCCUAUAAUUCUAAUAUAACUUAGUGUAUGUAAUUAAUCAUUAUAAUUGUUAUGUAAAAUUUUGUGUGCCACAGAAGUAACCAAAUUUCCUUAUCAAUUGUGGCUUUAAUAGUGGCUGUCCUAAAACUUUUUAUCAUCUACAGACCAUUGUUGUCUUGUUUUAAUCCUCUUUAGAAGGUGGUUUAUAAUUAACUAGAGAACUCUAGCAGGUGUUCUUAAACGCAGGUUUCUAAUAACUUUGGAAAUUGUAAGAUUAGAAUAGAGGAAACAACUUUUAAAACUCUUAUGAAGAGCUGGAAUGUUCAUGAAUAUCUAAUAGAACAUAAGUUAACUGAAUUAACUGGACCAAUAGCAAACUAACGUAAUCUUUUUAACUUUGCUUAAAUGCUGCUGAUCCGGCCAGGUGCAGUGGCUCAUGCCUGUAAUCCUAGCACUUUGGGAGGCCGAGGCAGGUGGAUCACCUGAGGUCAGGAGUUUGAGACGAGCAUGGCCAACGCAUGGUGAAACCCCAUCUUUACUAAAAAAAAAUACAAAAAUUUGCCAGAUAUUGCCUUUUCUCAAAACUCAAGAGUUAUGAAUGGACCUUACCAUACUGAUGCUUUCUCACUGAGCUCCUGUCUACUCUGAAUGCAAGAAACCCUCAUAGUUAGGCAGGAAUAUCAUAAUCGCUAUUCAGCCUGAAGAAGUUAAAGAAGAUGGAUCUUCAUCCCUCUGCAACUCUUACGAUUAAAGAGUUCUCUUAUAAAAGGGGGGGGGGGGGGGACAUGAGAGGUGUGUGAACCAGAGCAACUCCAUCUUAAAUAGGAGCUGGGUAAAAUGAGGCUGAAACCUACCAGGCUGCACUCCCAGACAGUUAAGGCAUUCUAAGUCACAGGAUGAGAUAGCAGGUCAGCACAAAAUAAAGGUCAUAACAACCUUACUGACAAAACAGGUUGCAGUAAAGGAGCCAGCCAAAACACACCCAAACCAAAAUGGCAACAAGAGUGACCUCUGGUCAUCCUCACUGCUACACUCCCACCAGUGCCAUGACAGUUUACAAAUGCCAUGGCAACAUCAGGAAGUAACCCUAUAUGGUCUAAAAAGGGGAGGCAUUAAUAAUCCACCCCUUGUUUAGCAUAUCAGCAAGAAAUAACCAUAAAAAUGGGCAACCAGCAGCCCCAAAGGGUUGGCUAUGGAACAGCCAUUCUUUCAUUUCUUUACUUUCUUAACAAACUUGCUUUCAUUUUGCACUGUGGGAUCACCCUGAAUUCUUUCUUGCAUGAGAUCCAAAAACCCUCUUGGGGUCUGGAUCAAGACCCCUGUCCUGUAACAAUCCCACUCUGUUCUCCCUGUUCUUUGUGCUCCAGUCACACUGACCUUCUUUUGUUCCCUGACCACAACAUGCUUCCUCCAGCAAUAAGGUGGCUGCCACACUGCUCCAUCUGCUGGGACCCUCCCCUGCCCCAAUGCCUCCUGUAUCACUUUCUUGGGGAAUUUCUCCCUGACUUCCAGGCAAAGCUCUCAUAAACAGUGUUCCUUUCCUUCAGAGCACUUAAUUCAGUUUUAAAGCAAACAUUAUUUAGUUUAACUAUCUGAAUUAAUUAUUUUAGUUAUUUGCCCACUUCCUUCAAUAGACUGUGGAAUUCCUGAAAGCGAGACCAUGCCUGGCUCUACUCACCACUGUAUACCCAGCAAAAUGCCUGGUAUAUAGCAAACACUCAAUAAAUAUUUGUUGAAUGCAUGAAUGAAUAGAAAUGAUAAGUGAAAUGAGCCAGUUACAAAGUGCUUUUACCCUUGAUAAUUUCUUCUUCCCCAACAAACUGUGCAUUUUUUAGUGCAGUGAUCACAUUUCUCUUGUUCUCCAUUUUAUCCUGAAUACUUAGGGUCUGAAACUCCAAAAACAUUUAUUAAAUGAAGGAAUGAAGGACUUAAGCUUCUGAGAUUAAGCAGAAUGCCAAGAGGAGAAGAAUGAGAAAAGCAUUUCUGACUACAGAAAUAGCAAAAGCACUUAUGGUAUUGAUGUUAAAAAGCUGCCAGUAAAAGAAUGUGAUGCCUUAGGAUAUAUGGGAGCACAGCUGGGAGUCAGAAUAGGAAGGGCCACUUCAGCUGUACUGUUUAGGUGAGUAGUUCUCAUGAUGACUCUAAGAAAUAUAAAGCAGAAGCAGCAACCCAGAAAUGGGAGAAGACACAGGUGGGCAUGCAGAUGGUAAAAAAGGGGACUAUCAAGAACAUACUGAAGAGUUCAAAUAACGAAGUUGUCUGGAAAUACAUAAUGUCAGGUCAAACACUGCCAAAUACUGUCCUAAGUCCACAGGGCAUCAGAAUAUCAUAGCAUAGUAAAAUUACUUGAGUCAUCAAAAAAGGACUAAAUUACACUACUACUGCUGAACUACUUACUAAUAUUGGUUGUGGUAGUAGCUGGCUGCGGUUACAGUAGUUAGGAGGAGCAGAAAUGAACAUUUAUUGAGCACUUGCUAUGUAUUUUCUCAUUUUAUUUUCAUUACUACCCUGUUAGAUAGUUUCCACCCUCAUUUUAUACAUGAGAAAAUCAUACUACAUGGGGCUUAAGUAAUUCAUUUAAAAUCAUCCUGCUAGUAGGCGUUAACACCAGAAUUAAAACCCAGCCUGUAGCUGUGAAUCUCACACUUUCAGCCACUAUGUUAUAUUCUGAUUAAGAAAGUACAGAAAGAUGUUAACACAAUUUAGAGAGCUCCUAUGAAGAAUAACUCAAAUGAAGUUUGGCCAGGCAUGGUGGCUCAGGCCUAUGAUUCUAGUACUUUGGGAGACUGAGGCAGGAUGAUUGCUUUAAGCCAGGAAUUCAAGACCACCCAAGGCAACAAAGCUCUUGCAAAAAAUUUGUGCCACUACAAAAAAUUUUAAAAAUUAGCCAAGUGUAGGGACAUGCACCUGUAGUUCUAGCUACUUGGGAGGCAAAGGUGGGAGGAUUACUUGAGCCCAGGAGUUCAAGGCUGCAGUGAACUGUAAUUGCACAACCGCACUCCAACCUGAGCAACAGAGUCUUAAAAUAAAUGAAUAAAAUGUGAUGCUUGAUGAGAUAAGCCCUCAAAUAGCUACAAAACCCACCAACUUUCCCUAAGCAGUCUAGAUGGCUGAGGUCCUAUCAAAAUGAUGCUAAUCCAGAGUUAUCUCCAAUGCAUGACUAUACCAUGUAUUGUUACACACUGGACUGUCUAAUGUAUAGUGGCCAUUAAAAAUGGGCAAAAGAUAAGAACAGCUCACCAAAGAAGACAAACGGUAACAAAUAAGCAUAUGAAGAUGCUCAACAUGAUGUAAUUAGGGAAUUACAAAUUAAAACAACGACAUACCACUACACACCUAUUAAAACAGCUAAAAUUGAAAAUACUGAUAAAAACCAAAUGCUGGUGAGGAUUUGGAGCAACAACUCUCAUUCCUCACUGGUGGGAAUGCCAAAUGGUAUGACCACUUUGGAAGACAGUUUGGCAGUGUCUUAUAUCAUAGGCUUACCAUACAAUUUGUCAAUCACACUCCUACAUAUUUGCCCAAAUGAGCUGAAAACUUACAUCCACAUAAAAAUCUGCACAUGAAUACUUACAGUGCCUUUAUUCAUAAUUCCCAAAAAUUAGAAGCAACCAAGAUAUCUUUCAAUAGAUGAAUGAAUAAAUGAACUGUGGUAAAUCCAUGCAGUCCAUUACUUAACAACAGUGAGAAAUAAGUGUAUCACACAAAGGAUGCUUAAAUGCAUACUGCUAAGUGAAAAAAGCUAGUCUGAAAAGGCUACAUAUGGUAUGAUUCCAACUAGAUGGCGUUCUGUAAAAUGCAAUACUACAGAGACAGAAAAAAGGCCAGUGGUUGCCAGCAGUGGUGGGUAGGGUUGAAUAGAUGGAGCACAGGACAUUUUUAGGGCAGUGAAGCCAUUCUGUAUGAUACAACCAUUAGAGCUGCACAAGAGUGAACCCUAAUGUAUAACUGCUGGCUUUUGUUAAUAAUAUUGGUUCAUCAACUUUAACAAAUGUACCACACUAAUGCAAGAUAUUAGUAACAGGAGUAAAAUGAGGGAUUGGAAGGAUAUGUAUGGGAACUCACUGUAUUUUCUGUGCAAAUUUUCUGUAAACCUAAAACUGCUCUAAAAAAUAGUCGAUUAAAAUUUUUUUAAAAAAACGAAGCAUAGCUCUCCCUCUCCCUCUCCCUCUCCCCACGGUCUCCCUCUCCCUCUCCCCACGGUCUCCCUCUCUUUCCACGGUCUCCCUCUGAUGCCCAGCCGAAGCUGGACUGUACUGCUGCCAUCUCAGCUCACUGCAACCUCCCUGCCUGAUUCUCCUGCCUCAGCCUGCAGAGUGCCUGCGACUGCAGGCGCACGCCGCCACACCUGACUGGUUUUUGUAUUUUUUUGGUGGAGACGGGGUUUCGCUGUGUUGGCCGGGCUGGUCUCCAGCUCCUAACCGCGAGUGAUCCGCCAGCCUCGGCCUCCCGAGGUGCUGGGAUUGCAGACGGAGUCUCGUUCACUCAGUGCUCAAUGGUGCCCAGGCUGGAGUGCAGUGGCGUGAUCUCGGCUCGUUACAACCUCCACCUCCCAGCCGCCUGCCUUGGCCUCCCAAAGUGCCGAGAUUGCAGCCUCUGCCGGGCCGCCACCCCGUCUGGGAAGUGAGGAGCGUCUCUGCCUGGCCGCCCAUCGUCUGGGAUGUGAGGAGCCCCUCUGCCUGGCUGCCCAGUCUGGAAAGUGAGGAGCAUCUCUGCCCGGCCGCCAUCCCAUCUAGGAAGUGAGGAGCGCCUCUUCCCGGCCGCCAUCCCAUCUAGGAAGUGAGGAGCGUCUCUGCCCGGCCGCCCAUCGUCUGAGAUGUGGGGAGCGCCUCUGCCCUGCCGCCCCGUCCGGGAUGUGAGGAGCGUCUCUGCCCGGCUGCCCCGUCUGAGAAAUGAGGAGACCCUCUGCCUGGCAACCGCCCCGUCUGAGAAGUGAGGAGCCCCUCCACCCAGCAGCCGUCCCGUCUGAGAAGUGAGGAGCCCCUCCGCCCGGCAGCCACCCCGUCUGGUAAGUGAGGAGCGUCUCCGCCCGGCAGCCACCCCGUCCGGGAGGGAGGUGGGGGGUCAGCCCCCCGCCUGGCCAGCCUCCCCGUCCGGGAGGGAGGUGGGGGGAUCAGCCCCCCGCCCAGCCAGCCGCCCCGUCUGGGAGGUGAGGGGCACCUCUGCCAGGCCACCCCUACUGGGAAGUGAGGAGCCCCUCUGCCUGGCCGGCCGCCCCGUCCAGGAGGGAGGUGGGGGGGUCAGCCCCCCGCCCUGCCAGCCGCCCCGUCCGGGAGGGAGGUGG
rnacentral:lncRNA from 1 species